GCUCUCCUAGGUGUAUUACCUAUGACGGCUCACGAGCCCAACCUGCCCGGGUUUAUUGUUCGGAGUUUGCUCUCCUAGGUGAACUGCUUUCGCUAACGAGCUCCACCUGCCCGGGUUUGUAAUCGGAGUUUGCUCUCCUAGGUGAAUUGCUUUCGCUAACGACCUCCACCUGCCCGGGUUUGUUAUCGGAGUUUGCUCUCCUAGGUGAACUGCUUUCGCUAACGACCUCCACCUGCCCGGGUUUGUUAUCGGAGUUUGCUCUCCUAGGUGAACUGCUUUCGCUAACGACCUCCACCUGCCCGGGUUUGUUAUCGGAGUUUGCUCUCCUAGGUGAACUGCUCACGCUAACGACCUCCACCUGCCCGGGUUUGUUAUCGGAGUUUGCUCUCCUAGGUGAACUGCUUUCGCUAACGACCUCCACCUGCCCGGGUUUGUUAUCGGAGUUUGCUCUCCUAGGUGAAUUGCUUUCGCUAACGACCUCCACCUGCCCGGGUUUGUAAUCGGAGUUUGCUCUCCUAGGUGAACUGCUCACGCUAACGACCUCCACCUGCCCGGGUUUGUUAUCGGAGUUUGCUCUCCUAGGUGAACUGCUUUCGCUAACGACCUCCACCUGCCCGGGUUUAUUGUUCGGAGUUUGCUCUCCUAGGCAGAUUGCCUACCACGGCUAACGAGCCCCACCUGCGUUGUAGCCGAAAGAUCUCCGGCACCUCCGUCGGGGUCCCGAUGGACGCCGAGGCGCCCUGCCGGGAGCCCUCCAGUCCUGCCAUGCUCGCCAGGGAGACCUUGGGCUCACUG